UUGACAUUAAUUUUAAGUAGGAUCACAAUGUCCUGUUCACCCCGGCCUUCUUUAUUUCAGUUGCUAAACAAUAGUGAGCUACCCCAAAAUACUCAUUAUAAGUCUUUAUAAUGAUUAUUGGUCGGUUACAAGAGUUUUAUUUGGGGAAUGAUUUUUACAUCACUUUUUCUCCUCUAUCUACAUGAACAAGAUGUUUAUUUCCGAAGCACAAUACGGUACACCACGUCUUAUAACUUAAGUAUACAAUGGGGCGAGCAAAAGGGCUUCUCUGGCGCCCCAACCCCCGCAUCUCGACCCUUGUUACCUUAGGGGCAUCAACUUUGGCUCUUGUGCAUAAGGAAUCUACUCAGAACUGUCCUGCAUUCCCCUCUGAACCCUCCCGAUCUUUAGCAGUGGAAAUCGGGGAUGGGGGUUGGGUAAUAUUUGAUUAUGAGGACGAACGGGCCGGGACGCAGUCUGCAGGGGUACCCUAUGCAAGUCUAUGGGUUCGUUUGGAUGUGCUUUUAAAAUGACUGAAACCGUUUUUGGUGAAAAUGUUUUUGACACCAAUUCUUAGUAAAAAUCUAAGUGGAUCCUGGAAAAGCACUUUAAGUACUUCCGGUAAGAAGCACAUAUCUGGUGCUUCUUCCAAAAAGCACUUAAAGUGCUUUUGGAACUCAAAAUCAAUUUACCCAAAAGCACUUUCAGACAUUUUAAAAGCACAUCCAAACAAGCCCUAUCUCAUGUCAAGUGACUAUAUUAGUUAGG
rnacentral:lncRNA from 1 species